UACGGGGGGGGCAAGCGUUGUUCGGAAUUACUGGGCGUAAAGGGCUCGUAGGUGGCCAACUAAGUCAGACGUGAAAUCCCUCGGCUUAACCGGGGAACUGCGUCUGAUACUGGAUGGCUUGAGUUUGGGAGAGGGACGCGGAAUUCCAGGUGUAGCGGUGAAAUGCGUAGAUAUCAGGAGGAACACCAAUGGCGAAGGCAGCUCGCUGGGACGUGACUGACGCUGAGACGCGAAAGCGUGGGGAGCAAACAGG
rnacentral:rRNA from 1 species